CUUGGUGCCAAUGCGACCGGAACACACCCGUUCCCAUCCCGAACACGACGGUAAAGACGGUUAGCAGCGACAAUACUUGGUGGGUGACUGCCUGGAAAGAUAGCCCGGUGCCAGGA
rnacentral:rRNA from 2 species